GGGUUGUGAGGUUAAGCGACUAAGCGUACACGGUGGAUGCCCUGGCAGUCAGAGGCGAUGAAGGGCGUGCUAAUCUGCGAUAAGCGCCGGUAAGGUGAUAUGAACCGUUAUAACCGACGAUACCCGAAUGGGGAAACCCAGUGUGACUCGUCACACUAUCAUUAACUGAAUCCAUAGGUUAAUGAGGCGAACCGGGGGAACUGAAACAUCUAAGUACCCCGAGGAAAAGAAAUCAACCGAGAUUCCCCCAGUAGCGGCGAGCGAACGGGGAGGAGCCCAGAGCCUGAAUCAGCAUGUGUGUUAGUGGAAGCGUCUGGAAAGGCGCGCGAUACAGGGUGACAGCCCCGUACACAAAAGCGCAUGUGCUGUGAGCUCGAUGAGUAGGGCGGGACACGUGGUAUCCUGUCUGAAUAUGGGGGGACCAUCCUCCAAGGCUAAAUACUCCUGACUGACCGAUAGUGAACCAGUACCGUGAGGGAAAGGCGAAAAGAACCCCGGCGAGGGGAGUGAAAAAGAACCUGAAACCGUGUACGUACAAGCAGUGGGAGCACCCUUUUGGGUGUGACUGCGUACCUUUUGUAUAAUGGGUCAGCGACUUAU
rnacentral:rRNA from 1 species